UCUACGGACAAGCAAGAGACAAUGGGGCGAACUAAAACAUCUUAGUAGCUAGAGGAAAAGAAAGCAAAAGUGAUUCUUGUAGUAGCAGCGAGUGAAAUUAGAGCAGCCUAAACCAUGAGAACGGGGUUGUGUAAGAGUUAUACAAGUCUCAUAGCGUUAGGCAAAGUGGUGGAGUGUUCACCCUAGAUGGCAAAAGUCCAGUAUUUGAAAGCAUUACUAGCUUACGCUCUGACCCAAGUAGCAUGGGCAUGUGCAAUCCCGUGUGAAUCAGUAAGGACCAUCUUGCAAGGCUAAAUACUCCUGGGUGACCAAUAGUGAAGUAGUACUGUGAGGGAAGGGUGAAAAGAACCCUCAUCAGGGAGUGAAAUAAAGCAU
rfam:Lupinus angustifolius cultivar Tanjil chromosome LG16, whole genome shotgun sequence.